GACGAACGCUGGCGGCGUGCUUAACACAUGCAAGUCGAACGGAAAGGCCCUGCUUUUGUGGGGUGCUCGAGUGGCGAACGGGUGAGUAACACGUGAGUAACCUGCCCUUGACUUUGGGAUAACUUCAGGAAACUGGGGCUAAUACCGGAUAGGAGCUCCUGCUGCAUGGUGGGGGUUGGAAAGUUUCGGCGGUUGGGGAUGGACUCGCGGCUUAUCAGCUUGUUGGUGGGGUAGUGGCUUACCAAGGCUUUGACGGGUAGCCGGCCUGAGAGGGUGACCGGCCACAUUGGGACUGAGAUACGGCGCAGACUCCUACGGGAGGCAGCAGUGGAGAAUAUUGCACAAUGGGCGGAAGCCUGAUGCAGCAACGCCGCGUGCGGGAUGACGGCCUUCGGGUUGUAAACCGCUUUCGCCUGUGACGAAGCGUGAGUGACGGUAAUGGGUAAAGAAGCACCGGCUAACUACGUG
rnacentral:rRNA from 1 species